AAUAUAAAUAAAUAGUAUAUUAAGAAAAAAAAAAUUUAUUGUUCUAACUAUAUAUAUAUCAACUACAUUUUCUUGUACUAUGUAAAAAUAAAAAUAAAUUUAUCUUUAUAAAAUAAAAAAUAUAUUUUUUUUAAAUUAUAUUAAAAAAUAAAAAUAUGGAUAUUUUUAUGGGACAGAAAGAAUAAAUGUUAUUAAGACCUAUGUGAUUAGUUUGAUGCUAUUAAUUCUAAAUUCACAUAAUAGUAAGAGUAUUAAAAAAAGGUAUUAAAAAAAAAAAAGGAAAGAGAAAG
rnacentral:misc_RNA from 1 species